GACUCACUUUGGACGUUACCGAGACCCAGAAUGAUCAGAAGCAUCGUCAUAAUCAUACUGCUUCAAUCACUAUGCUGGAUACAAGGUGUCACAGGAGCAGAAGAUGUCAUUCAGCCCAGUAUAAUAUGGGCAGAAAAGGAUAAAUCUGCUACGAUUAACUGCAAUCACACCAAGGGACAAACUUACAAUGAGAUGUACUGGUUUCAACAGCUCCAAGGAGAGCCCAUGAAGACCAUUGUCUAUACAUCCUCCUUUAAUCAAAAGCCAGAGUUUAGAAAUGGGUUUAAUGAGCAGAAAUAUGCAACAGUUAAAACAGUGGCUGAGAAGGGAUCAUUAACAGUGAAAGAUCUGAACUCUGCUGACAGUGCUGUGUAUUUCUGUGCUGUAAGAGAACACAGUGUUACAAACACAGGGAGAGGCUGUACAAAAACCUACAAUCUGUGUUGA